rnacentral:rRNA from 1 species
UGAGGAAUAUUGGUCAAUGGGCGGAAGCCUGAACCAGCCAAGUCGCGUGAGGGAAGACGGUCCUAUGGAUUGUAAACCUCUUUUGCCGGGGAGCAAGGCCGUUCUUGCGAGGACGGAAAGAGAGUACCCGGAGAAAAAGCAUCGGCUAACUCCGUGCCAGCAGCCGCGGUAAUACGGAGGAUGCGAGCGUUAUCCGGAUUUAUUGGGUUUAAAGGGUGCGUAGGCGGGACGGUAAGUCAGCGGUAAAAUUGCGGUGCUUAACGCCGUACGGCCGUUGAAACUGCCGUUCUUGAGUGGGCGAGAAGUAUGCGGAAUGCGUGGUGUAGCGGUGAAAUGCAUAGAUAUCACGCAGAACUCCGAUUGCGAAGGCAGCAUACCGGCGCCCGACUGACGCUGAGGCACGAAAGCGUGGGGAUCGAACAGG